rnacentral:misc_RNA from 1 species
GAUGAAUAACGUAGCGAAAUGCGAUAAGUAAUGUGAAUUGCAGAAUUCAGUGAAUCAUCGAAUCUUUGAACGCACAUUGCGCCCCCCAGUAUUCUGGCGGGCAUGCCUGUUCGAGCGUCAUUUCAACCAUCAAGCCCUGCUUGUGUUGGGGUCCUGCGGCUGCCCGCAGGCCCUGAAAACCAGUGGCGGGCUCGCUAGUCACACCGAGCGCAGUAGCACAUCUCGCUCAGGGCGUGCGGCGGGCUCCAGCCGUUAAAGCACCCACCUUUCGCAAGGUUGACCUCGGAUCAGGUAGGAAUACCCGCUGAACUUAAGCAUAUCAAUAAGCGGAGGA